CGUAGGUGGUUUGUUAAGUUGAAUGUGAAAUCCCCGGGCUCAACCUGGGAGCUGCAUCCAAAACUGGCAAGCUAGAGUAUGGUAGAGGGUAGUGGAAUUUCCUGUGUAGCGGUGAAAUGCGUAGAUAUAGGAAGGAACACCAGUGGCGAAGGCGACUACCUGGACUGAUACUGACACUGAGGUGCGAAAGCGUGGGGAGCAAACA
rnacentral:rRNA from 1 species